CGAAGGGGGCAGAUCGAGGAAUUACUAUUGAUGAGGCAGGGGAGAUGGGCAACCGGCUGCCCACCUCCAUUGUGCACAGGAGAGCAAUGGAAAUGAAAUUAGUAAUGGUCAUAACUCUGGAUAUUCUUUUCCUAAAUAUGGCAAUAUCAGAUGAGCAGAAAUCCUAGUCUGACUACAUCUUAAAGGGAUACUCUGACAUCAGUUCUGGCAGCUGCCACCAUGUUUUCUGCAUCAGCCGCACCUCCGGUUCCGCCAAUCACGGCCAUUUUGGAACUAAAAACCAGCCCUGAUUUACAAAUGCUUCCAGCCAGCAUACACUAUUGCUCACCACCCCA